GUUGUAGACUACGACGUUGAUAGGCUGCAGGUAUACGUGUCGAAAUACACUCAGCUGAGCAGUACUAAUUACCCAACAGCUUGCACA
rnacentral:rRNA from 1 species